AGCAGUGUAGCCAUGUGGAUAUAGCACCAGCCUGGGAGUUAGAAAGACCUGGGUUCCAAUCCCAGCUCUGCCA
rnacentral:tRNA from 1 species